rnacentral:tRNA from 6 species
GGCGCGGUAGCAAAGCGGUUAUGCAGGGGACUGCAAAUCCCUCCAGGGCGGUUCGACUCCGCCCCGCGCCUCCA